AGCUGUGGUAGCUUUGUUGGUAGAGCAUUAGACUUGUAAUCCAAGGGUCAUGGGUUUGAUAUCUGCCCAGGUAGGCUG